rnacentral:rRNA from 1 species
AACGAACGCUGGCGGCGUGCUUAACACAUGCAAGUCGAACGAAGUGGCGAACGGGUGAGUAACGCGUAAUCAACCUGCCCUUCAGUGGGGGACAACAGAUGGCAACGACUGCUAAUCCCGCCUACUGAAGGAGGGGAUUGCGUCUGAUUAGCUAGGUUGAGGGGUAACUGCCCCCCAAGGCGAUGAUAAGUAGCCGGUCGGUGUGGAUGAACGGCCAAAUGUGGACUGAGACACGGCCCAGACCCCUACGGGAGGCAUCAGGGGGGAAUCUUCCGCAAUGGGGGAAAGUCUGGCGGCGCAACGCCGCGUGAGUGAUGUCGGCCUUCGGGAUGGAAAGCUCUGUUAAUCGGGACGCGGUACCGGCAGAGAAAGCAACGGCUAACUACGUGCCAGCAGCCGCGGUAAUAC